rnacentral:tRNA from 1 species
AAAUUAAGCUACUGGGUUCAUACCCCAUUUAUAAAGGUUAUAAUCCUUUUCUUUUUA